GACGAACGCUGGCGGCGUGCUUAACACAUGCAAGUCGAACGGAAAGGCCCUGCUUUUGUGGGGUGCUCGAGUGGCGAACGGGUGAGUUACACGUGAGUAACCUGCCCUUGACUGUGGGAUAUCUUCAGGAAACUGGGGCUAAUACCGGCUAGGAGCUCCUGCUGCAUGGUGGGGGUUGGAAAGUUUCGGCGGUUGGGGAUGGACUCGCGGCUUAUCAGCUUGUUGGUGGGGUAGUGGCUUACCAAGGCUUUGACGGGUAGCCGGCCUGAGAGGGUGACCGGCCACAUUGGGACUGAGAUACGGCCCAGACGCGUACGGGAGGCAGCGGUGGGGAGUAUUGCACAAUGGGCGGAAGCCUGAUGCAGCAACGCCGCGUGCGGGAUGACGGCCUUCGGGUUGGAAACCGCUUUCGCCUGUGACGAAGCGUGAGUGACGGUAAUGGGUAAAGAAGCACCGGCUAACUACGUG
rnacentral:rRNA from 1 species